rnacentral:lncRNA from 1 species
GGCAAAUAAGUUAAUAUAUAGAACGAUGCAUGGCUUUCUGGAGAAGGAAAAUUACAGUUUCAGAAUAUAGAUUACAAGUACACUUUAGUUGCAGAUCUAAUUAACUAUGAAUCUGUUACCUGGAAGGAAGAAACCUUAAGAGGGCUUUUCCCUGAAGAACAAGCUAAGAUAAUUGGCUCCAUCCCCUUAGGGAACGCCUUACAACCAGAUAAAAGGGUUUGGCGAGGUGACAAGUUGGGGGAAUACACGACAAAAAACCGUUACAAACGGUGUGUCACAGAGGAUCUAAACCUGUUGAGAAAUGAAAUAACAACAUAUCUGGAACAAACUAGAAAUUAUUAUACAAAAAUUUGGAGCCUAAAGAUUCCCAGCAAGGUACGGAUCAAUCUAUUGAGAAUUAAAAAUAAUUUCUUUCCUACAUUAAGUAACUUAAAAGCCCGUAGGCUGAGAUAUGAUGCCCUAUGCUCGCUAUGUGGGGAAGAAGAUGAGUCAGUUAGCCAUAUUUUUAGAGAUUGCAACCUUGCGAAACAAGUCCUCUAGCAAAUGACAGUGACAUUGCCGCCCAUACAUGACAAUCAAGAAUGGAAACAAUGGUUAGCUGAGACGUUCAAUAUCAAUAAUGCAUAUAAAUCCACAUGCCUAGCAGUAUCGCUAUGGACAAUACGGCAUAACAUGAGCAAAUACUACCACGAAGGUAUUCAACAAAGAAUAUGCGAGAUAGUGGCCUUUAUCAAAGCAUAUAUAACAAAAAUUUGACAUGCUAUAGGAAGCACUGAAAUGCAAACAUAUUACAGAUCCCAGUGGGAACCCCCAACAGAAAGUCAAGUAAAAGCAAACUUUGUUACCGCGUUUCAACAAUAGAGCAACAAAACAGUUUCGAAAAUAAUCAUCAGAAAUCAUAUGGGGCUAGUUAUGAGUUCAUGUACUUACCUGAUCAACAACGUUUGAGAUCCGACAACCUCCAAAGUGUAUGCAUGCCUUCAAGGAGUUGUCUUUGCAGAAGAAAUGGGGUUUGGCAAUGUAAUCAUCGAAUGGGACUCAAGAACCGUCAUUAAAAAGCUACAAAAUUCCAGGAAAUGACAGAUCAAUUAUUAGGGGUGUUAUAAACGAAAUAAAAGAAAAGUCAAGAAAUUUUUGGAAUAUUGUGUUCCAUUACGUACCGAAAGAAGCCAACGGAACAGAGCAUGCGAUGGCUGCCUGGGGAAGAGGAAGCGACUCUUCGGCUUUCUGGGUGGAAGAAACUCCGUUGGAGGUUGAACCCAUAGUACUAAGGGAUCAAGGGAGAAGUGCUUAGUGAAAGUAGUAUCGGUGGUUGUGGUGGGCCGAGUCCGGAGAAGAUAAAGGGUCAACGAAGCUCCGAGGAACUCGGAAAAUGAUGAAUCUAGGGGAAAAAAUUAAGACGAGGACAAUGGGUUUGUUUACCGAGUCCAUCGUAGAAGAGACAUUCGGCGACGUAGCAACAGAACCGAGGCACCGUCCACGGUAUGCAACGAUUGAAUGAGAAGUGGUAGUGUUAAGUGGCUUAGUGAUUUUUUAGGAUUUUAUUUCAAUGCAGUGGCCAAAUAAAAUUCAAAAAGAAAUAAUCUCAUUCAAUUAAUUUUUUUCAAUAAUGAAA